GAGCCCUGUCUGGUCACAACGAGAGCACCGUCCUACGGGGGCUCUGCCUGGAUUCUGGGGUCCGAGCUGGGAAACAGCAACAAAAACAGGGCCAGGUUAUUUAUUAUGCUGCCCGGACGAGAAUGAAUGGGGCCCCGCUCUCACACGGAGAAGAGCGAACGUGAUGCCUCCGUCCCCGAAGACUGAGGCUCUGAUAUUAAAGGGGCAAUUAAUCACCCUGGGCCUUGGGCAGAGGGGCGUCCCAUCUGGAGAGAGGGAGGAUGGUCUGGCAGGUAAGUCAUCGUGGCGAGAGGUGGCUGCACAGAGCUCAGGGGGCCCGCCUUUGCUGUGCCCCCCC